rnacentral:rRNA from 1 species
CCUACGGGUGGCAGCAGUGGGGAAUAUUGGACAAUGGGCGAAAGCCUGAUCCAGCCAUGCCGCGUGUGUGAAGAAGGCCUUCGGGUUGUAAAGCACUUUCAGUGGGGAAGAAAGCCUUGGGGCUAAUACCCUCGAGGAAGGACAUCACCCACAGAAGAAGCACCGGCUAACUCCGUGCCAGCAGCCGCGGUAAUACGGAGGGUGCGAGCGUUAAUCGGAAUUACUGGGCGUAAAGCGCGCGUAGGCGGUCUGAUAAGCCGGUUGUGAAAGCCCCGGGCUCAACCUGGGAACGGCAUCCGGAACUGUCAGGCUAGAGUGCAGGAGAGGAAGGUAGAAUUCCCGGUGUAGCGGUGAAAUGCGUAGAGAUCGGGAGGAAUACCAGUGGCGAAGGCGGCCUUCUGGACUGACACUGACGCUGAGGUGCGAAAGCGUGGGUAGCAAACAGGAUUAGAUACCCUGUAGUC